UUCGUUCAUUAAAACUGUAAUUCCCCGGUGGUCAAAGCCAAUUCUGUGAAAGACAAUGAUGAGAUGUGGGGGAUUUCCUUUCACAAAGACAAAUCGUAUUGGUCCUUGGCGAUCAAGAUAAAACCGUUCUUCUGUGAGACGUGUUACGUCAGGAUGGUUUGUCAGAUCACCUAUCCUGUAGUCAAUAUCAGCC